rnacentral:misc_RNA from 1 species
CCAAUAGCGUAUAUUAAAGUUGUUGCAGUUAAAAAGCUCGUAGUUGAAUUUCGGGACCAAUCUGCCGGUCGUGCCUCCGGUACGCACUGGUUUUAUUGGUUUCUCCCUUCUGACGAACCAUGAUGUCAUUAAUUUGGUGUCAUGGGGAAUCAGGACUGUUACUUUGAAAAAAUUAGAGUGUUUAAAGCAGGCUCACGCUUGAAUACAUUAGCAUGGAAUAAUGAAAUAGGACGUUUGACCCUAUUUUGUUGGUUUCUAGGAUCGACGUAAUGAUUAAUAGGGAUAGUUGGGGGCAUUAGUAUUCAAUUGUCAGAGGUGAAAUUCUUGGAUUUAUUGAAGGCUAACUACUGCGAAAGCAUUUGCCAAGGAUAUUUUCAUUAAUCAAGAACGAAAGUUAGAGGUUCGAAGGCGAUCAGAUACCGCCCUAGUUCUAACCAUAAACGAUGCCAACUAGCAAUCCGCGUGAGUUCCUCAUACGACUCCGCGGGCAGCUUCC